GAUGAAGAACGUAGCGAAAUGCGAUACGUAAUGUGAAUUGCAGAAUUCAGUGAAUCAUCGAAUCUUUGAACGCAUAUUGCGCUCUUUGGUAUUCCGAAGAGCAUGCUUGUUUGAGUAUCAGUAAACACCUCAAAGACUUCAAGUUGUUUUGAAUGGCUUUGGACUUGAGCAAUCCCAACACCAGUCUUUACGAUCGGUGGAGGGUUGCUUGAAAUGCAGGUGCAGCUGGACAUUCUCCUGAGCUAAAAGCAUAUUUAUUUAGUCCCGUCAAACGGAUUAUUACUUUUGCUGCAGCUAACAUAAAGGGAGUUUGACCGUAUUGGCUGACUGAUGCAGGAUUUCACAAGGGUCGGCAACGAUUCUUGUAAAACUCGAUCUCAAAUCAAGUAAGACUACCCGCUGAACUUAAGCAUAUCAAUAAGCGGAGGA
rnacentral:misc_RNA from 1 species